AAUAUAAGGGCGUACGGUGGAUGCCUAGACACUAUUCAACGAAGAAGGACGUCGCAGGGUGCGAUAAGCCUCGGGGAGGUCCCAAGCAACCUUUGAUCCGGGGAUUUCCGAAUGGGGGAACCCAUGUCGCGUAAUGGUGACAUACUGUACAGUGAAUACAUAGCUGUAUGGAGAAGACCUGGUGAAGUGAAACAUCUCAG
rnacentral:rRNA from 1 species